CCUACGGGGGGCAGCAGUGGGGGAUAUUGCACAAUGGGGGGAACCCUGAUGCAGCGACGCCGCGUGGGUGAAGAAGCGCCUCGGCGCGUAAAGCCCUGUCAGCAGGGAAGAAAAUGACGGUACCUGAAGAAGAAGCCCCGGCCAACUACGUGCCAGAAGCCGCGGGAAUACGUAGGGGGCAAGCGUUAUCCGGAUUUACUGGGUGUAAAGGGGGCGCAGACGGGGAUGCAAGCCAGGAGUGAAAGCCCGGGGCCCAACCCCGGGACUGCUCUUGGAACUGCGUGGCUGGAGUGCAGGAGGGGCAGGCGGAAUUCGUGGUGUAGCGGUGAAAUGCGUAGAUAUCAGGAGGAACACCGGUGGCGAAGGCGGCCUGCUGGACUGCAACUGACGUUGAGGCCCGAAAGCGUGGGGAGCAAACAGGAUUAGAUACCCGAGUAGUC
rnacentral:rRNA from 1 species